ACCUUAAUAGCGCCGGGCUCAUAACCCGGAGGACAGUGGAUCGAAACCACUUUCAGCUA
rfam:Diplodia corticola strain CBS 112549 scaffold10, whole genome shotgun sequence.